AAUUUGAAAUCUGGCCCUUCCGGGGUCCGAGUUGUAAUUUGUAGAGAGCGCUUCGGGCGAGGUCGCGGUCUAAGUCCAUUGGAACAUGGCGUCAUAGAGGGUGAGAAUCCCGUAUGCGACCGUGGACCGAGCCCAUGUGAAGCCUCUUCGACGAGUCGAGUUGUUUGGGAAUGCAGCUCAAAACGGGUGGUAUAUUUCAUCUAAAGCUAAAUAUUGGCUGGAGACCGAUAGCGCACAAGUAGAGUGAUCGAAAGAUGAAAAGCACUUUGGAAAGAGAGUCAAACAGUACGUGAAAUUGUUGAAAGGGAAGCGCUUGCAACCAGACCUGCCCGGGGGCGAUCAGCCGCUGUUCUCAGCGGUGCACUCGUUCCCCGACCAGGCCAGCAUCGGUUCCGGCGGUCGGAUAAAGGCCUUGGGAAUGUAGCUCCCCUCGGGGAGUCUUAUAGCCCUCGGCGCAAUGCGGCCAGCCGGGACCGAGGACCGCGCUUCGGCUAGGAUGCUGGCGUAAUGGUUGUAAGCGACCC
rnacentral:rRNA from 1 species